CAGAGACUUGAAGGUACCAGAUUUCUCAUAAAUAGCGUGAGUUAGAAGGCAGGAGAACAAAACCUACAAAGGCCAGAAGGGUCUAAGUUUCACCCUGUAAUACUGCAUUCAUUCAUUCAGCCAAUAUUUCUGAACAUCUCUGUGGUCCUGGGAGCAAAAAUCCUGUCCUCCGGGAAGUUCUUCUGUCAUGCUCGGUUUGGGAUGGAGUCCUCUCUGUGCAGAAUAAGAAGAAUUGUGUGCUAGGACCUCGGGGUCAAGAAGGAGGUAUAGACUCCAGAAGACCUGGGGAACAGGAGGUGACCCGUGAGAGACGCUGAGGAGAAGAACCACAGAAGGUUAGCAAUGGGACGAAAGAGUCAGGCUGGAUAUACCUCAGGGUGGACAGAGGAUGUGCCAUAUACUCCAGUCCUUAAGCCCAGCAUUAAAAACCAAUACAUAUAGAGCAUUUACUGUGUGGCAGACACAUUUUAAGAGAUGUGCAUAUAGUUUACUUCAUCCUGACAACUACUCCUUAAGGCAAGGACUACUAUGACUCCCCUUUCAGAGAUGAGGAAAGUAAGUCACAAGUAACUUGCUCCUGUUUCCAAGGCUACUAAAUGACGAAACCUGGAUUCAAACCCAGGUUGGCUCCUGGCCUCACGUUCUCAGCCAAAUUACCACAUUGCAUUAUAUUGUUGUUACUACUGUUUUUAAGUUUCUAUAGGCAGAAAAUACUAUUUAAAUCGAAUUCCAAGGUAGUGCAGGGUGUUGCAAAACACAUUUUAAAAUAAGAAGGAAAGGACUACAUCUGAUAAGAAGGCGAAGCAGUGGUACAAACGAAAACCAAGGCCAACCAGAAGAAGCAAGGACUGAGAAGCUAAAUGAAUGGAAGGCUGAGGGUGAGGCUGAGUGACAGAGCCGAGCGGCGUAGAGGAAACCAGCCUCCAGGAAGGAAGAGCAUUCUGCUUUGCAAAGAACUUGCUAAAAGAAGCAAGACUCUCCAAUGCCACGGACAUUCUGUUUCCUUCUAUUUCCAUUUAAAUC